rnacentral:lncRNA from 1 species
AUAAAACUUUCUUAUAUCAACGCCUACCUAUAUAUAUAUAUUUUUUUUAAUUCAAAUUUAUUCAGAUUGGGCCACUUUAUCUUUAUUGAAAGUAUAACAAAAAGUUUAAUUGCAGAACUUUGAUUUUUUUCACGAUAAUAGCCCGAAAAUAGAUUAAAAUUGACGAAAAAUGGGAAAAUCAUCAAAAUUGGGAACUUUCAAACGGCCGUAGCAAAAAAAAAAAAAAAAAAAAAGAAGUGCACCACCAUGUGAUUUUUUUCUUCACCAAUUAUUUUUUACAGUCAUAUAAACCCAAAAAUCAGGUUUAGAAAAAAAGUUUAAUUCUAGAAAUUUUUGGCUCC